CUCUUAUCAAGAGCGGCUUAGGGACUGGCCCGAUGAAGCCCGGCAACCAGCACAGGAUCUGUUUUUCACUUGUGCAAGGUGCCAAUUCCAGCAGGACACCAGGUGUUCUGGCAGAUGAGAG
rnacentral:ncRNA from 2 species